rnacentral:rRNA from 1 species
UAGAGUUUGAUCCUGGCUCAGGACGAACGCUGCGGCGUGCCUAAUACAUGCAAGUCGAACGAACUCUGGUAUUGAUUGGUGCUUGCAUCAUGAUUUACAUUUGAGUGAGUGGCGAACUGGUGAGUAACACGUGGGAAACCUGCCCAGAAGCGGGGGAUAACACCUGGAAACAGAUGCUAAUACCGCAUAACAACUUGGACCGCAUGGUCCGAGUUUGAAAGAUGGCUUCGGCUAUCACUUUUGGAUGGUCCCGCGGCGUAUUAGCUAGAUGGUGGGGUAACGGCUCACCAUGGCAAUGAUACGUAGCCGACCUGAGAGGGUAAUCGGCCACAUUGGGACUGAGACACGGCCCAAACUCCUACGGGAGGCAGCAGUAGGGAAUCUUCCACAAUGGACGAAAGUCUGAUGGAGCAACGCCGCGUGAGUGAAGAAGGGUUUCGGCUCGUAAAACUCUGUUGUUAAAGAAGAACAUAUCUGAGAGUAACUGUUCAGGUAUUGACGGUAUUUAACCAGAAAGCCACGGCUAACUACGUGCCAGCAGCCGCGGUAAUACGUAGGUGGCAAGCGUUGUCCGGAUUUAUUGGGCGUAAAGCGAGCGCAGGCGGUUUUUUAAGUCUGAUGUGAAAGCCUUCGGCUCAACCGAAGAAGUGCAUCGGAAACUGGGAAACUUGAGUGCAGAAGAGGACAGUGGAACUCCAUGUGUAGCGGUGAAAUGCGUAGAUAUAUGGAAGAACA